UAGCACUUCUGACAGUAUUGGAAAGGAUCGUCCCUGAGAGGUUCCUGCAAGUCCUAAAACACAGGAUCAACGUCAAGUUCGAUGCAGUUGUUGGGUACAAAGACAAGUGACGCAGCCUGCUCCGGUUCCCUGAAAGCCGAUUGACUGGAUCAAAGUUGAUUUCUUCUAAUAUUAAUCAAAAGUUUGAUGUUUUUAAUGUUUUCUCUGUAUCUUGUUUCUUCACUGUCUCCUCUUGAAGCUGUGACCAUUGUCAUGAAAGCCAGUUUCAUGUCCUAGACCCAAACAGCCCUAAGGAAGUUGCGCCUAUGGAAAAGGCUGGGGGGGGGGGGGGACGACGGUGGGACGGAGGGGUGGGGGAGACGGGGGGGGGGGGGGGGGGACAGGACGGGACACGACGACGGGGACGAUGACGAUUGAUUUCGUGAUGAUAAUUUCCCCAGAUUCUGUGGCUCAUCACCAGGUUUUCAGAGCUUGUACUGUCGGUUUUCAUUUACAGUGUCUGUAACUGCACUUUGAGUUUGUAUAAUUCACACUUCCUGUUCUACCCCAUAUAAAAUUAGAAACCUUAACCUCUCACGGUGG
rnacentral:lncRNA from 1 species